CGAGCUUUACGACAUUCGGCAAAGCCAAGCCUCGGGCGCUUGAGGUCGCUGGUUCGAAUCCGGCCGGCCCAU
rnacentral:tRNA from 1 species